CGACUAUCUAUUUUGUAUAUAUUUCUGUCUACUUUGCUAAUUCCCGUAAUGUUUUGAUUACUUAAUUACUAUCCUAAUUAUCUAUCGUUAAACAACAUUACUGACGCGUGUUUUGGAUCAGCACAUUGUUUAUCUGCGAUUUUCUGUUUUUGUGGUAGGCCUAGGUGUGGGAGCAAAAGGCCUCUGUUUCACUUGCGGACAUCAUCUGAUUUCAAUUAUUCAAGACCAAGAAUGGAGAUGAAAUGCGGAUGAUACCUGUAUGACCUCAUGAUGUCUAGAAUUUUAUCGUGCAUUUCAGGCAUUGAAAGCAUGAUCCAUCUCUAGCUCAUAUUCGAUGGAGGGAUCGCUUUUAUUUGAAGGGCAAGCGGUGGGAUGUCAAUAUGACUCCUCGACUGGAAAUUGUCAUUUUGAAUGUUUAAGAAAUUCCAAAGACAGAUUAGCUGUCGGAUGACUACCUGCUAUCAUUAUAUAAUAUACUAGUUGUAUUUUGCCAGAUUGAUCUGCUUUUAUAUCCAGAAAGGAUACUAAGUUAAGCUACAUCUCACACAAGUUUUAUAAUUUGAUAUGAUACCGGUUUUAUCUGCCGCUUGUGGUGCAUACUUUUGGCAGUUUAUUAUCUUACUCAUCGCUCAGUAAUGUUUACAAGUCCUCGAUUACUUUGAAUAAGAGCAGGAAUUUGUGAUAA